rnacentral:rRNA from 1 species
UACGGGGGGGGUAAGCGUUGUUCGGAAUUACUGGGCGUAAAGGGCUCGUAGGCGGCCUACUAAGUCGGACGUGAAAUCCCUCAGCUUAACUGGGGAACUGCGUCCGAUACUGGAUGGCUUGGAUUUGGGAGAGGGAUGCGGAAUUCCAGGUGUAGCGGUGAAAUGCGUAGAUAUCUGGAGGAACACCGGUGGCGAAGGCGGCAUCCUGGACCAAUAUUGACGCUGAGGAGCGAAAGCCAGGGGAGCAAACGGG